ACCACAGUAUCACCUGCAGUCCAUUGCCUGGAGGAGACCUUGAGUACACUAGACUAUGCACAUAGGGCAAAACAUAUUAGAAAUAAGCCUGAGGUUGAUAUUGGAAUCUUCUUAGUACAAGGGGCGAAGCGUCCCUGAUUUGAUAAAUCAUUUUUCAUAUAUGUAUCCUUCAUCGUUCAAUCAUUGGUUUCUGAAGUCUAUUCAUCUGACAUUCACCUCUAAUCUUGUAGCUUUUUUCUUCAUGUUUAGGUAAUGGCAGAUCAGACUGAACAAAUGGCAGUUACAAUAGAAAUCCACCAGAAGGUUAAAAAAUGCUCUAACAUAGACAACAAACUUGAUGCCACCCAGCACUGAAGAAGAGUUAAGAAGAUGCUAGUAUGCUCUCAAGGAGU